GUUGGAGCCGUCCUUGAAAUACCACCCUUGUAUGUUUGAUGUUCUAACUUAGACCCGUUAUCCGGGUUGAGGACAGUGCCUGGUGGGUAGUUUGACUGGGGCGGUCUCCUCCCAAAGAGUAACGGAGGAGCACGAAGGUGGGCUAAUCACGGUUGGACAUCGUGAGGUUAGUGCAAUGGCAUAAGCCCGCUUAACUGCGAGAAUGACGGUUCGAGCAGGUGCGAAAGCAGGUCAUAGUGAUCCGGUGGUUCUGUAUGGAAGGGCCAUCGCUCAACGGAUAAAAGGUACUCCGGGGAUAACAGGCUGAUACCGCCCAAGAGUUCAUAUCGACGGCGGUGUUUGGCACCUCGAUGUCGGCUCAUCACAUCCUGGGGCUGAAGUCGGUCCCAAGGGUAUGGCUGUUCGCCAUUUAAAGUGGUACGCGAGCUGGGUUUAGAACGUCGUGAGACAGUUCGGUCCCUAUCUGCCGUGGGCGUUGGAAGAUUGAAGGGGGCUGCUCCUAGUACGAGAGGACCGGAGUGGACGAACCUCUGGUGUUCGGGUUGUGUCGCCAGACGCAUUGCCCGGUAGCUAAGUUCGGAAUUGAUAAGCGCUGAAAGCAUCUAAGCGCGAAGCGAGCCCUGAGAUGAGUCUUCCCUGAUACUUUAAGUAUCCUAAAGGGUUGUUCGAGACUAGAACGUUGAUAGGCAGGGUGUGUAAGCGUUGUGAGGCGUUGAGCUAACCUGUACUAAUUGCCCGUGAGGCUUAACCAU
rnacentral:rRNA from 1 species